rnacentral:lncRNA from 1 species
AACGACGACAAUUCGCGGCUUCGCUGGCUUGAAAGAGGACCUUUGGUGAGCGUAAAGGGGCAACAGUCCACGUGGGAUGAAAUACAGCCAUGUUCUGCCACGUCAUCGACAUUGGGACCCUACUGAAACACUAAAUAAUUUAGUCUUCUACUAAUAAUGAUGACCGGUCAAAGCGGUUUAUUCCUUUUCCGGCUGCCGCAUCUUAUUACCCUCGGUCAACUCCUUCCCUAUUUAUCACCAACAUGACCUAUUUUUUUUUUUUAAAGACCUAAUCUCAUUUCAUGAACUUUUUUUGGGUGUUUAAACUAGUAGUCAUCGUACUCUGGAUCAUUUAUUCUUUCGCCUCAAAAAAAAACUAGUAGUCAUGUUCAUGUAUCCUGUAUAUAUAUCUCUGAUGAAAAUGAAAAUAUUUAUUUGUCGACGUCUAAACUCUCCCAAUACGGCAGGCCUCAUCCGGCAUGGCUAAUAUUGCAUUAUAUAUUGCGAAGAACUGCUUAAUAAUAGUGGGUGCCUAAUCGUAUGGAAAAUGCUAUAGAAUGUACAGUGCUGCACGUGUCUCCAUUUAUUUUACAAUAUUUUUAAUUUGGGUCAAUACAAUAUGCGUCUUUAAUUAUAGUUUUAGAGUAUUAUAUGUUGCUUCGAAUUAUUUGAUGGAAAAUAUGGAAAGCAUUAAUAUAAGAGACCAUAUAGACAUUUUUAUCAUAUACAAGCUGAGAAGUGAGCAGCCAUGGACGUGUAUUAUUUAAUUUUAUAUGUAUUUAUAGUCUAUUACACCACAACUUCAGAUCAUAAAAUAUAUUGGCUACACACGUGAAGAAAAAAAAAUACUAAGAAUAUAGAUACACCAUUAUAGUGUUCCCAUAAUUUGCCAAUAGUUUACGUGAGUGUAUUUGCUUAAACAUAUCCUAAGUAGUCAGCCGCCCCGCAAAAUUAAAAUAAGAAGAUGAUGUUUUCCAACUUAUAUGCAUAAUGCAUUGCAAGACCUCAGUUUAAUGCAAAUGAGCUUAGUUUAGAGAGACGCUGUAGAAGCAGACGUCCUGUGUAGAAGUUAUGAUGUGUUGGUAGUUUACCUUGUAGUUUAUAUGAUGUACAUAUAAAAAGGGGAGAUACUUAUGAAACAAGGUUAUGUAUAUUUGAGAAAGGGGGUGUUUAUUUGAGAGAGAGGAAAGUAAAGAUGGAGAAAUAACGUAAAAAAGGAAAUGGGUGGAACCUGGACCGGGCGGAUAAGUGUUGGGGGUGGGGUCACAUUUGGGCGUAAUCAGUAGGGGAGGAAUGUAUUUUUGUUUUUGUUUUUGUUUGAUCUCCUCUUUAAUUACUUAAUCACGAUUUUAAAAUGGGGGAUUAAGAAAAUAGAAGAAGUCGCCUGCUUGAAAUGACAAAAAUACCCUAAAACAUUAAAGGAUUAGUAUGGCCACGGCGGCAUGAGUAAGAUGCGGCGUCGUUUAAAGACAAGGAAGAUAGAGAUAAAAGCUCAUUAGACCUGCCUCCACAAUACUUAUUAGUGAUUGAUGAUCAUCUCUCUCUCUUUGCAUUUGAAUUGAUUUUGCAAAUCUCAUAAAAGGGGAUUCAGUUAUAAAAAAAUUAAAAAAAAGGAAUCGUUGAGUUUAAUUUGCUCAAUGGUGGUGGUAUCAAUCUUCCUUCAUAAAUCGAUCGAAAGGGGAUAUAAAAAAAAGGAAUCGUUGAGUUUAAUUUGCUCAAUGGUGGUGGUGAUGGAGAGUUGCGGAAGUAGAGUCUUACCGAUGAUGUCGCAGGCGGGCAUGGAGCGGCGGGAGCGGAUGAAAGUGGAGGUGUUCGAAGAGGUCAUCCUUCGUCUCCGUCAAUCUGAUAAUAUUGACACGGAUCUCCCCGGUUUCGUC